UUUUAUGGAGAGUUUGAUCCUGGCUCAGGAUGAACGCUGGCGGCGUGCCUAAUACAUGCAAGUCGAGCGAACGGACGAGAAGCUUGCUUCUCUGAUGUUAGCGGCGGACGGGUGAGUAACACGUGGAUAACCUACCUAUAAGACUGGGAUAACUUCGGGAAACCGGAGCUAAUACCGGAUAAUAUUUUGAACCGCAUGGUUCAAAAGUGAAAGACGGUCUUGCUGUCACUUAUAGAUGGAUCCGCGCUGCAUUAGCUAGUUGGUAAGGUAACGGCUUACCAAGGCAACGAUGCAUAGCCGACCUGAGAGGGUGAUCGGCCACACUGGAACUGAGACACGGUCCAGACUCCUACGGGAGGCAGCAGUAGGGAAUCUUCCGCAAUGGGCGAAAGCCUGACGGAGCAACGCCGCGUGAGUGAUGAAGGUCUUCGGAUCGUAAAACUCUGUUAUUAGUGAAGAACAUAUGUGUAAGUAACUGUGCACAUCUUGACGGUACCUAAUCAGAAAGCCACGGCUAACUACGUGCCAGCAGCCGCGGUAAUACGUAGGUGGCAAGCGUUAUCCGGAAUUAUUGGGCGUAAAGCGCGCGUAGGCGGUUUUUUAAGUCUGAUGUGAAAGCCCACGGCUCAACCGUGGAGGGUCAUUGGAAACUGGAAAACUUGAGUGCAGAAGAGGAAAGUGGAAUUCCAUGUGUAGCGGUGAAAUGCGCAGAGAUAUGGAGGAACACCAGUGGCGAAGGCGACUUUCUGGUCUGUAACUGACGCUGAUGUGCGAAAGCGUGGGGAUCAAACAGGAUUAGAUACCCUGGUAGUCCACGCCGUAAACGAUGAGUGCUAAGUGUUAGGGGGUUUCCGCCCCUUAGUGCUGCAGCUAACGCAUUAAGCACUCCGCCUGGGGAGUACGACCGCAAGGUUGAAACUCAAAGGAAUUGACGGGGACCCGCACAAGCGGUGGAGCAUGUGGUUUAAUUCGAAGCAACGCGAAGAACCUUACCAAAUCUUGACAUCCUUUGACAACUCUAGAGAUAGAGCCUUCCUCUUCGGGGGACAAAGUGACAGGUGGUGCAUGGUUGUCGUCAGCUCGUGUCGUGAGAUGUUGGGUUAAGUCCCGCAACGAGCGCAACCCUUAAGCUUAGUUGCCAUCAUUAAGUUGGGCACUCUAAGUUGACUGCCGGUGACAAACCGGAGGAAGGUGGGGAUGACGUCAAAUCAUCAUGCCCCUUAUGAUUUGGGCUACACACGUGCUACAAUGGACAAUACAAAGGGCAGCGAAACCGCGAGGUCAAGCAAAUCCCAUAAAGUUGUUCUCAGUUCGGAUUGUAGUCUGCAACUCGACUACAUGAAGCUGGAAUCGCUAGUAAUCGUAGAUCAGCAUGCUACGGUGAAUACGUUCCCGGGUCUUGUACACACCGCCCGUCACACCACGAGAGUUUGUAACACCCGAAGCCGGUGGAGUAACCUUUUAGGAGCUAGCCGUCGAAGGUGGGACAAAUGAUUGGGGUGAAGUCGUAACAAGGUAGCCGUAUCGGAAGGUGCGGCUGGAUCACCUCCUUUCUAA
rnacentral:rRNA from 1 species